GUGGUUGUAGCUCAGUGGUAGAGCGGCGGUUUGUGGUACCGCAUGUCGCGAGUUCGAUCCUCGUCUUCCACCCCA
rnacentral:tRNA from 1 species